rnacentral:rRNA from 1 species
AACGAACGCUGGCGGCAUGCCUAACACAUGCAAGUCGAACGAGACCUUCGGGUCUAGUGGCGCACGGGUGCGUAACGCGUGGGAACCUGCCCUUAGGUUCGGAAUAACUCCCCGAAAGGGGUGCUAAUACCGGAUAAUGUCUUCGGACCAAAGAUUUAUCGCCUUUGGAUGGGCCCGCGUUGGAUUAGCUAGUUGGUAGGGUACAAGCCUACCAAGGCGACGAUCCAUAGCUGGUCUGAGAGGAUGAUCAGCCACACUGGGACUGAGACACGGCCCAGACUCCUACGGGAGGCAGCAGUGGGGAAUAUUGGACAAUGGGCGAAAGCCUGAUCCAGCAAUGCCGGGUGAGAGAUGAAGGCCGUAGGGUUGUAAAGCUCUUUUACCCGGGAUGAUAAUGACAGUACCGGGAGAAUAAGCUCCGGCUAACUCCGUG